CCUACGGGUGGGCUGCAGUGGGGAAUUUUGGACAAUGGGGGCAACCCUGAUCCAGCCAUGCCGCGUGCGGGAAGAAGGCCUUCGGGUUGUAAACCGCUUUUGUCAGGAGAGAAAUCUCUUGGGCUAAUACCCUGAGAGGAUGACGGUACCUGAAGAAUAAGCACCGGCUAACUACGUGCCAGCAGCCGCGGUAAUACGUAGGGUGCAAGCGUUAAUCGGAAUUACUGGGCGGAAUGUGUAAGCAGGGGGUGAAAUCCCCGGGCUUACCCUGGGAACGGCACUUGUGACUGCACGGCUAGAGUACGGCAGAGGGGGAUGGAAUUCCGCGUGUAGCAGUGAAAUGCGUAGAUAUGCGGAGGAACACCGAUGGCGAAGGCAGUCCCCUGGGCCUGUACUGACGCUCAUGCACGAAAGCGUGGGGAGCAAACAGGAUUAGAUACCCCGGUAGUC
rnacentral:rRNA from 1 species